AUUGAACGCUGGCGGCAGGCUUAACACAUGCAAGUCGAGCGAGUGGCGGACGGGUGAGUAAUGUCUGGGAAACUGCCUGAUGGAGGGGGAUAACUACUGGAAACGGUAGCUAAUACCGCAUACCAUCGGAUGUGCCCAGAUGGGAUUAGCUAGUAGGUGGGGUAAGGGCUCACCUAGGCGACGAUCCCUAGCUGGUCUGAGAGGAGGACCGGCCACACGGGAACGGGGAAACGGUCCGAACGCCACCGGGAGGCAGAAGUGGGGAAUAUUGGAAAAGGGGCGCAAGCCGGAGGCAGACAUGCCGGGUGUGUGAAGAAGGCCUUCGGGUUGGAAAGUACGUUAAGCGAGGAGGCGUUACCCGCAGAAGAAGCACCGGCUAACUCCGUGCCAGCAGCCGCGGUAAUAC
rnacentral:rRNA from 1 species